GACGAACGCUGGCGGCGUGCCUAAUACAUGCAAGUAGAACGCUGAAGGAGGAGCUUGCUUCUCUGGAUGAGUUGCGAACGGGUGAGUAACGCGUAGGUAACCUGCCUGGUAGCGGGGGAUAACUAUUGGAAACGAUAGCUAAUACCGCAUAAUAGCAGUUAUUGCAUGAUAACUGUUUGAAAGGUGCAAUUGCACCACUACCAGAUGGACCUGCGUUGUAUUAGCUAGUUGGUGGGGUAACGGCUCACCAAGGCGACGAUACAUAGCCGACCUGAGAGGGGGAUCGGCCACACUGGGACUGAGACACGGCCCAGACUCCUACGGGAGGCAGCAGUAGGGAAUCUUCGGCAAUGGACGGAAGUCUGACCGAGCAACGCCGCGUGAGUGAAGAAGGGUUUCGGAUCGUAAAGCUCUGUUGUAAGAGAAGAACGAGUGUGAGAGUGGAAAGUUCACACUGUGACGGUAUCUUACCAGAAAGGGACGGCUAACUACGUG
rnacentral:rRNA from 1 species